ACACAGCUCAAUGGUGAAUGGGUGUUCUCACUGUGUUGACCCUAUUGUUGCGAUGGUGAGCCAGUUUUACUCCAUUUCACACCUUGUUUUUUUAGCGCCAGGGGACAGGGUUUUCCUUAAAUACAUGUGACAGAGCACCUAGUGUGGGUUGAAGUUAUGAUGGGUCUCACAAACACUGUGGAUAAAGUGGAUUCAGGAAAAGCUAAAUGCGGGCUAGCCCCUGCUCUGGCCUACUCAGAGGAGAUGUGGCAGAACACACGUGUUGUGUUCCAUCACUGUCUGGAGGGAUUCCACAGCUGGAGAGGAAGGAACACCUCUGUGUGUGACAUCACCGGGAAGUGGCAGGCUUCCACACUGCAAUGCCAAGAAAUCAAGCCUGCCAUCAGCGACUUGGUUGUUUUAAUGAAAAAUGUUUGCGUUGGAAUGCAGACAAGUAUGAAGAAGACACAGAACAUUACAGAGUAGCAUUUGCAGGAUUCAGGGACAAUCAAAGGUCAUUCCAUGACAAGAGGAAAGCUCCACAGCUCCACUUCAGACCUUCCUGAUAUCCACCUGAACCUGCUGCCUGUUACCAGCUAUACCAUCAGCAUCACUGCACUGUGCAGGUUCACUUCCACGGUCACAGCUAACACCAGCCUACAACAAACAACCUCAACUAACAAUAACAGUUUGAUGAUUAAAUAUUUUAAGUUUCUUCCAGGUGCCACUGGAGGGGACCCGUGUGUUUGACUGCAGCUCUCCUAAGAAUCCAGUCUCCUCCAGUCAGAGGAAGUCCCAUGGACAGUACGUCACUGCCCAGGUCCAUCUGAGGGAUGAGGGGAAAGAGAUUACCCUACUAUGAUUUCUUCUACAACGCUCCACUACAGAAUGGCAGAGACUAUUACAUCAUAUUACAAGUUGUCAGUCAAUGGGGAGGGGUAAGACCAACUGCUAUGCAUUAAAAAUAAAUUAUAUGUGGAGUUUAUUCAUCAAAAAGGAAUGACAGUUUUGAAGGUCUUUAACAAAGUUAUAUUGAUUGUUGAUCUUAUUGAUCUCCUGUGCUAUUAGUCAUACUGUGCCAUUUGAACUAUUUUCUAGGAUUUCAAGCACACUUGUGUUAUUUGGGCAAAAGGGAGAGGUACGGUUACCUUUCCUCAUCUUUAUCCCUUUGGCUUUGUUGUGGUUUAAUCAGAUUGUUGUAAGAUGUUUUCUCUCGUUUGGUAGGUACAUCCUACAUAAUGAAGGUUUCAUCACUUUUUGCUGGAGGAUCAAUUGGAGUCUUUGCUUUGGUCAUUGUUGUGUGUAUGCCUAAUUAUGACAUGUUCUAUAUGUGCAAUUCUUUUUCAGUAUAUUGAUCAAAUCUGACUUAAUACAUCGCCUACUAAACAUUUUGUAUCCCUUUGUCAGGUUUUGUAAGAAGACAUGACAGUCAUCGUGAUAACUGACUUUUUCAGAUGGGUCACACUUGGUAAUAUCAGCAUAAUGUUCAACGACAUCUAUCUGUAAAAUUGUGACUGUGUAAAAAAUGU